CUACCCUCAAGCCCUGCUUGGUGUUGGCGGAUUGCCCACUGUGGCAACUGCUGAAAAUGAAUGGCGGUAGCACACUUGUCCCUGUAGAGUAAUUAUCCUUACAGCGUUCUAGUGGACGAACCAGCCCAAACCCAAAGAAAUAGCAA
rnacentral:misc_RNA from 1 species